ACAAACUAAGUAUGAGCGCAUCAUUGGCAGUCAUAGAUGUAGCACCCAAGUUUUGUCCGGGGAUAAUUUACUUUCAAAAUUAUCGAUUUUAUUUUUAUUCCGUGUGUUUAGAAAGUCUAAAAAAAUAAUAAUAAAAUAAACUAGAAGUUUUAUUUGUCUUGGCCAUUAAUAAAAGAGUAAUUAAAAAUAUUUGUCAUUGUUAUGUUAGAAUCUUUUUUUAGUUUGUAUUUAAAGUGUACUACCUCUAAGGACAAAUGUGUAAUUUUCCCUCAAGCUAAAACCCUCAAAAUUAGGAUAUAAAAGGAUUAAUUUAUGAGCCAAUGAGGAGGAGGAGGUUGCAUAUUCCUUUCCACUAUUUAAAAAAAUAAUAAAAAUAAAAAGAAGAGAAAAGCUUUCUUCAUCUUUCUCUCUCACGCACAAAACUUGUAAGGGGAAAAGAGAAAAAUGUAACUUCCUCUCUCUCACAGCCGCUGCAUAACAUCUUCGUCUACCCCUUCCCAUAUUUCUUGU
rnacentral:lncRNA from 1 species